rnacentral:rRNA from 1 species
CCUACGGGAGGCAGCAGUGAGGAAUAUUGGGCAAUGGAGGCAACUCUGACCCAGCCAUGCCGCGUGAGUGAAGAAGGUUUUCGGAUUGUAAAGCUCUUUCGGAUGUGACGAUGAUGACGGUAGCAUCUAAAGAAGCCCCGGCUAACUACGUGCCAGCAGCCGCGGUAAUACGUAGGGGGCAAGCGUUAUCCGGAUUUACUGGGUGUAAAGGGGGCGCAGACGGCGAUGCAAGCCAGGAGUGAAAGCCCGGGGCCCAACCCCGGGACUGCUCUUGGAACUGCGUGGCUGGAGUGCAGGAGGGGCAGGCGGAAUUCCUGGUGUAGCGGUGAAAUGCGUAGAUAUCAGGAGGAACACCGGUGGCGAAGGCGGCCUGCUGGACUGCAACUGACGUUGAGGCCCGAAAGCGUGGGGAGCAAACAGGAUUAGAUACCCUGGUAGUC